UUACCGUUGAAAAAAAGCACGGAAAAAACAUGCAGUACCGUGGCCAACGUUCCAAAUCGCAUAGGUUUUCAUUGGCCAUGGAGCGUUUAGAUGCAUAUUAGGCGGCAUGCAAAAUUUCAGCUCUUCAACUCAGGUUGCAAGAGAUAAGUAAUGGAAAGUUAUGCAUGUGGGUUUGCUUUCUCAGCCCGCAGAAGGACAGUAGCAUACAUUUUUCAACAGCUUUGGCACCAACCUUUUUCGAGCAAAAUUUUGAUGUGGAACGUCAUUGCCACCAACAGAUAUACCAAUUUCGUCUGCAGUGAACAACAGAUGAAAGAAAAAUGCAUUUGGAAAGUGUGAAAAAGCUUUAUCACACAUGCAUUGCCUCCCAGAGAUUUUAUUGGUGCAUUAAAAGUUUGUGCAGCAGAAACUGAUUUACCAGCUUUAAUAGCAGAAGUGAAGAAAGCAUUACCCAUUAGAGGGAUAAUUCAGCCUAACUUUGACCAAGUUAUAUAGUAUGCAGUUUUUGAUGGUAUUUUUGCCCAGGCUGCUACUACUUACUUUUUCUGAUUUGUAGAUUGAGGGUAUGAAAAUGCUGAAGGAUUCAAAAAAAAUGUUUCAUAUCUUAAUUUAUUAACGUGGGAUUAUGUUUAAGUUAUUUGAGAUAAAUUAAGUAAAGAGCAAUGUUGUCCAUUAUAUUGUAUUUUGCAAUGAUUUAUUUGAUUUUUUUAUGGCACAAUUAAUUAGUUCUCUUCUAUCCAUUUACAGAUAUUGAUGAAUGCUUAGAUCUUGGUUUGAAUGAUUGUUAUCCUUCAUCGUAAGGAAGAAUAUGUGAAAAUACAGAGGACUCAUAUAACUGUUCAUGUCCCCAUAGCAGUUACAAUGGCACUAGGAAUGGCUCACUUGUACUUCUCCAAUCCAUAAUAUUUUGUAUAAUCAUAUAGGUGGCAAUUGAAAUACAACUUUUAUUUUAAUGAUUACAUUAUAUUUUA